GUGGGGAAUUUUGGACAAUGGGCGCAAGCCUGAUCCAGCAAUGCCGCGUGCAGGAAGAAGGCCUUCGGGUUGUAAACUGCUUUUGUACGGAACGAAACGGUCCGGGUUAAUACCCUGGGCUAAUGACGGUACCGUAAGAAUAAGCACCGGCUAACUACGUGCCAGCAGCCGCGGUAAUACGUAGGGUGCAAGCGUUAAUCGGAAUUACUGGGCGUAAAGCGUGCGCAGGCGGUUUUGUAAGACAGGCGUGAAAUCCCCGGGCUCAACCUGGGAAUUGCGCUUGUGACUGCAAGGCUGGAGUGCGGCGGAGGGGGAUGGAAUUCCGCGUGUAGCAGUGAAAUGCGUAGAUAUGCGGAGGAACACCGAUGGCGAAGGCAAUCCCCUGGGCCUGCACUGACGCUCAUGCACGAAAGCGUGGGGAGCAAACAGGAUUAGAAACCCGUGUAGUCC
rnacentral:rRNA from 1 species